AAUCAUUGAACCUUGUACAAAUUCGUUCAAGGUCACCUGAUCCAUCCCGUCUCUUCCAUCGUGAAUCUUGCCGUUGUUUUCCCUUUUCUCACCUCAAUUUGAAUCCCAAAUCCCCAAAAACCUACACCAAAUAGUGAAAGUGUUCAAAAUUCAUCACUUUGCCCAUUUUUCAUUCAAAUCACCACAUGCGUAUGAAGAUUAAUGAGGAUCUCAAAUACAUCAUAAUGGUAUUUGGUCCUGAGGUCAAACACAAUGACCUUUGGACCUUAGCUUUAACUGAUGGUCCUUGGUCUCCAAUGAUCGAUUUUCCAUAAAGGUGAAGUCAACAAUAAUUGAACUGUCCAAUUGGCAGCAACAGUAAUCUAGCUUCUGAUUGGAGAAAGCGGGUGAUGCAAUUGGAAAUGGUGUCCGAAGGUCAAGUUGAUCUUAAUGUGAAUGCGAAUAAUUUUUGGAUAAUUAAGAUGUCUAAUAUUCAUGAUACUAUAUGAAUAUACUCACUUUUGAAAAGUUUAUUGUUAAUGAGCAUUUUGACACACUAUUUUAU